rnacentral:rRNA from 1 species
GAGUCUCGCCUGCUCAAUGAUGAUUACUCAUUAAAUAGCCGCAGUAUCCUGACUGCGUGAAAGUAGCAUAAUAAUUUGCCUUUUAAUUGGUGGCUGGUAUCAACGGUAUUAUGAGAGUGAAGCUGUCUCUUGCGUAUUCUUUUGAAUUUACCUAUUAGGUGAAAAGGCCUAAAUAGUUUUAUAAGACAAAAAGACCCUAUCAAGCUUUACAGCGUGUAAAAAUGUAAGUAACUUUUAUUUUGCUGUUUGAUUGGGGCAAUCGGGGAGCAAAAAAAAUCUCUCCAUUUUUUCUACCAUUCUAGGAAUGAGCCACGAUUAGUGAUCAAGGGAAAAAGCUACUGUAGGGAUAACAGCGUAAUUUCCUUUGUGAGUUCUUAUUUAAAAGAAAGUUUGCGACCUCGAUGUUGGAUUAAGGUGUCCUGAAGGUGCC